rnacentral:rRNA from 1 species
CCUACGGGAGGCAGCAGUGAGGAAUAUUGGUCAAUGGACGAGAGUCUGAACCAGCCAAGUAGCGUGAAGGAUGACUGCCCUAUGGGUUGUAAACUUCUUUUAUAAAGGAAUAAAACGAGGCACGUGUGCCUUUUUGCAUGUACUUUAUGAAUAAGGAUCGGCUAACUCCGUGCCAGCAGCCGCGGUAAUACGGAGGAUCCGAGCGUUAUCGGGAUUUAUUGGGUUUAAAGGGAGCGUAGAUGGGUUGUUAAGUCAGUUGUGAAAGUUUGCGGCUCAACCGUAAAAUUGCAAUUGAUACUGGCAGUCUUGAGUACAGUUGAGGUAUGCGGAAUUCGUGGUGUAGCAGUGAAAUGCUUAGAUAUCACGAAGAACCCCGAUUGCGAAGGCAGCUUACUAAACUGUGACUGACAUUGAUGCUCGAAAGUGUGGGUAUCAAACAGGAUUAGAUACCCGGGUAGUC